GGGACAGUGAUGAAGCUACACUGGGACAGUGAUGAAGCUACACUGGGACAGUGAUGAAGCUACACUGGGACAGUGAUGAAGCUAUACUGGGACAGUGAUGAAGCUACACUGGGACAGUGAUGAAGCUACACUGGGACAGUGAUGGAGCUACACUGGGACAGUGAUGAAGCUACACUGGGACAGUGAUGGAGCUACACUGGGAUGGUGGAUUCUAGACAGGAAGAGUCCAGAUUAGCUGAGCUGCUGUGCAUCAGAAAACCCAGUGAUGAUGGCCAAAAUGAAGGUAGAGUUUAAGGCUUUAAUCACUGCCAUGGAGUAAGCAGGGUUUAAGGUGUAGUAAGUGCUGAUCUGCUCCUAACCCAACGCCUUUCUCACCCACUGAGCAGUGUGAGAUGAGACUCAGGUGGAUCAGCAGAGGGGUGAAGACCGAUUUACUGCUAAGAAGGCCUUGACACAAAGGCUCUUGUUUGCUGUAUCUGACACUCAGGAUGAAAAGAAGGGACUAAGGGUAAAACUACAUAGAAUGUGAAGAAGUGUUUUCCAGAAGCUUCUUCCACUUAUCCUGACCUGGGCUCAGUAGAGGUCCCUAGCAAGUCCUUUUUCAAGGUUCCUGGCACAGAGGCCUUAGUGAUGAACUAAGAGUGUGGUUAGGAGGACCCCUGACCCUGGGAAUGUGCUAUGGUUUCUGCUGCCUUUGUGUGAGCUGCCAGGUGAAGCCAUUGCACCUAUCUGGUCACAUGGUGUGGAGGUUGCUGCAUAAAACUGUCGUGUGCAGUGUGUGAGGGCAGUCAGACAUUGGUAAUGAGAUCUAAGAUGUCACAAGGGAAGUGAAGGCUUCCUUUAACUUGAAGGAAAAAGAGAGGUAUCAUUGUGUAUGUGGAAAUUUAAAUUUAUAAUUUAAGGCACCAGAGGUGGGGAAUGUGGUUCUGUGGUAGAGUAUGCAGUUUGCAAGCUUUCAGAAGGUCACGGGCCCAGUCUUCCUAGACCAACGGAAUAUAGUCCAAUAAAUGUGGCGGAAAUACUGCUGCAAAGGUAAAGAGAGGCCUAUCCUUACACAAUGGCACACUUACACAUCAGCUCAUCUGUGUGUUUUCUAUGAACAAGAGUUUAUAAAAGCCUUAUUGAUUCAUAUCAAUAAUGGUGAGAUUUAUAUCCGGCCUUCCUUUUCCUCUUAUUCUCUUCCUUUCUAUUACUUUCCUUUCUCUGGUAUGAGCUCUAUGGCCACAUUGGCUGAUUUUACUGGUAGUAUACACUUUCACUAAUACUGAAUUUCAUAAGUUGGCUCUGGUUACUUCUUUUGGUGUAAAAUAACAUUCAUUUUCAACUGAGUGUAAUCCACCUGUCCAACCCAUCAAUCCACCCAUCACAUCCUGCUGUUUUUUAGACAACAUUUAACCUAUUAAAUAUCUGCUAUUCUGGGAGUGUGCCACUACUGAGGGAACUUUUUACAUUUCUAAUUUUUCAAAUAAUGAUGCUAAUAUUAUGCGAAUGAAGGUGAAGAUGACAGAGUUUAAUAAAUUAAUGCCUAGAGCAUGCUUUGAUGAUUCAAAGGGCUAGAGAGAUUUAUCCUGGAACUGAGCAAGGGAGUCUGAGCACACCUAGCUCAUCAAACUGGGUGAUCUAGUGAUGCUAUCGCCUCCCUUUUGUUCACACUGCUCAACUUGGCCUCUGUAAUUUCCCAGUAUCCUCUCUGGUCAUAUAUUCUAAGGAAGAAUAAUAAACUUUUGCUAUUUACUUAUAUAGAAAAGGCCACUAAGAGUAUUAAGAAUACAUUGUGCAAGCCACUUUGUUUGUGAAGUACUUAAUUAGUAUUGGUUGGUAGUAUUACUUAAUUAAAAUAUGUUAAUUUUAUCAGUUGUUGGCAUGCAUGGGCAUACUUUUGUGUGGAAUUAUGUGCAUAUGAGUAGAGGUGCCUGCAGAUGCCAAAAGAGGCUAUCUGAUUACAAACAAUUGAUGGCUAUCCUACAAGGGUGCUGGGAACAAAACUCCAGUUCUCUGGAAGUGCAAUCAAUGUUCUUAGCCACUAAUCUAUCUCCACAGGCUUGAAGUAAAAAUAUCUCUCUUCUCUCCCGUGUGUUUGUGUGUGUGUGUGUGUGUGUGUGUGUGUGUGUGUGUGCGCACGCGCAUGCAUGGGUGCAUAUCUGUCUGUCUGUCUUUGUCUCUG
ensembl:lncRNA